GGAGAGAUGGCCGAGUGGUCGAAGGCACUCCCCUGCUAAGGAGGGUUCGAAUCCCUCUCUCUCCGCCA
rnacentral:tRNA from 1 species